rnacentral:rRNA from 1 species
GACGAACGCUGGCGGCGUGCUUAACACAUGCAAGUCGAACGGAAAGGCCCUUCGGGGUACUCGAGUGGCGAACGGGUGAGUAACACGUGGGUGAUCUGCCCUGCACUUUGGGAUAAGCCUGGGAAACUGGGUCUAAUACCGAAUAGGACCGCGCGCUUCAUGGUGUGUGGUGGAAAGCUUUUGCGGUGUGGGAUGGGCCCGCGGCCUACCAGCUUGUUGGUGGGGUAAGGGCCUACCAAGGCGACGACGGGAAGCCGGCCUGAGAGGGUGACCGGCAACAAGGGCGUUGGGAUUCGUCCCUAACUUGUCCGGUGAUUUCCUACGGGGAAUUUGUCGCACUGCGCCCAACCCUGAUACUGCUCCCCGCCCUGUGGGAAGGCGCCCUUGGGGUUCUAAACCCUUUUCCCCAUGUGCCUCGCACAAGUGCCGGUCCUUGGAGAAGGUGCCCCGCCCAUUCACCU